rnacentral:rRNA from 1 species
UACGUAGGGUGCAAGCGUUGUCCGGAAUCAUUGGGCGUAAAGAGCGUGUAGGCGGUCCGAUAAGUCGGCUGUGAAAGUCAAGGGCUCAACCCUUGAAUGCCGGCCGAUACUGUCGGGCUAGAGUCCGGAAGAGGCGAGUGGAAUUCCUGGUGUAGCGGUGAAAUGCGCAGAUAUCAGGAGGAACACCAAUGGCGAAGGCAGCUCGCUGGGACGGUACUGACGCUGAGACGCGAAAGCGUGGGGAGCAAACAGG